rnacentral:rRNA from 1 species
UACGGAGGGUGCAAGCGUUAUCCGGAUUCACUGGGUUUAAAGGGUGCGUAGGAGGGCAGGUAAGUCAGUGGUGAAAUCUUCGAGCUUAACUCGGAAACUGCCGUUGAUACUAUCUGUCUUGAAUACCGUGGAGGUGAGCGGAAUAUGUCAUGUAGCGGUGAAAUGCUUAGAUGUGACAUAGAACACCAAUUGCGAAGGCAGCUCGCUACACGAAUAUUGACUCUGAGGCACGAAAGCGUGGGGAUCAAACAGG